rnacentral:lncRNA from 1 species
AUUUUGAUUUAAUUCCAUUUGGUUCUGGACGGAGAAUAUGUCCUGGUAUGACAUUUGGUCUUUCUAAUGUGGAACUUUCGCUUGCUACCCUUUUAUACAAUUUCGAUUGGAAAAUACCAAAUGAUGUUCCUGGAAAAGAUCUUGAUAUGGCUGAAAGUCUUAGAGGGACUCUUGGUAGAAAAAACCCACUCAUAUUGAUACCUGUAUUUCCUACUACUUAAUAAAGUAUUUUGUAAAUUAUUAUAGUAGAGUAAUUUUCAGACGAGUCAUUUUUUUGGUGAGUCCAAAAAACAGUCAAGAUAAAUGAACGUUUUUGGGCUCACGUCAGAUAGACUUUUCUGAACUUUCUUCUAUUACAGUAUUAUGUCUAUUUGAAAUAUUUUGAAAAUCUCUGUAUGAUGAGAAAUUUAACUCCAUUGCAGUUACCUCUGCUCGUCCUAAUUAUCAUUUCCGAAUAGUGUCUUAGGAAAAGAUUGUCUCGUCCGUACUCCAUUCGUGACCCGAUCCGUUCUCACUCUUAUUGAAAUUUUAAAAGGAUCGAGUCUCACAUGAGAUUCAGACUCUGCCCAGUUAAAUAUCGGGUAUCCAAUUAUCGGAUCCAUGGGCAAAAAAUAAAUAAAUAUGUUGUUCAUCGGAUUUUAAAUGAUAUUUUAGUUUCUAUGCUAUCAUGUAAUAAAAAAUAAAUCUGUAAAGGUUUAUAUGCACAAAAUGGCAGCCCACAGAGGCCCAUUAACAGACGCAACUUGGAAAGAAACCCUAGGUCCAUUGCUAUAUAUAUAUUUAGUUGUUUUCUUAUUUUUCUUCGGUGGUUCUUUCUCAGCGUUUCUCAAUUCUUCUCAUGUCUGUAUAUCUCGAUUCGUUUCUUUAUUAGUUAGAUCUAAUCUAUAGUUUUGUUGUUGUUUAUUCCUAUGAUUUGCAUCUGUUUUAUAUAUGAAUGUUCUCCUCAAAUCUGUUUCGUACAUUUUUAUUUGGGGUGGAUUUGAAUGAUGCAUAGAUCUACGGUUCGAUUUAUCAACACAUUGUGAUAUCUUAAUUUGCAAUGCUGUCAAACGCUCGAUCUAUAUUCUUUCUUUGUUUGAUGAUGAUUAUUUUUACGAUGCAAUAUUUUAGUUCUGAUUAUUCGAUUUUGAUCUUUUUUUUUUAAUGUUUUAGAUGAUUUAUCGUUUGCUUUCGAUUGUCUGAUAUCUUUCUGUUCUAUCAAUUGCUUCUAAACUUGAAUUUGCAAUGCCAACAAAUAUUGGAUCUUUAUUUCUUCUUGUAAUUCGAGUUCUGAUCAUUUAAUCCCUGCGAUUAAUUUCGUUUGUUCUUAUUUUUGUCAAUUUUUUAUUGAUUUAUUUUGAUAUUACGCAACCUCCAAAAUAGGAGCUUAAUUAGAUUUAAACUUAAAAUCAUCCAUUAACAUUUAAUUAAUUACUAGAUUUAGAUAUUAUAAUGACUGAGAAUUAAAUUUAUAAUCGCCCUACCCGUUCAUCUUUUUACCAAUAUACCCAAACACAUAGUUAAUACCACCUAAUCCAUCAUCAACCCAACUACCCUAAUUAACACCUUUAUAGCUGUUAAUCCUCAACUAAGUUACAUUUAUAAAUACACCCUCACAAUACAUGCAAUACAAGUAUAUAAGUUCUGUUCUACUUUAAUCUGGUUUGGAUUCAAAUCUCUGUCUCAAUCUCAAUCUGGUUUCCUGGUCUAUUGAAUCUGGAUCUUCGAAUCUAUCUAGGCAUCUCCGAUCUUCGUGAUGCCAAUCUGUUCCGGCACUUCUUCGAUCUUCAAUCAUCAAUCUGUUCAUCAUCAGUCAUCAUAUCUAAAUAUUACAAACAACAAUGAUUUAAUCAUAUAAAUUAUUAUAAAUAAAUCCAUACUGGAAUUCUAACAGUCUAUUAGUUAAAUUUAAAUUAAUUUAUCUAUUUUCUGGUCAAACAAUUAUGGUUUCGUUUUAUAAUUAAAUUUUAUUUUUUACCCAUAUGUUGUUGAGAUUCAAUCUUGGCUCAUUGCUUAAGGUCUUAUUUCUUGGUUUGUUUUAUAAAUAAAAGUUUUGGAUUCUUAUCAGAAUUUUAUACCAACCAUCGAUUUCGCUGUACAUUUGUCAAAUUAAGUUUUUUUUUUAAUUCGUUAUUCGUUUAUAAGGCUAAGAUUAAUUUUUUUUGACAAAACUGGUUUAUUGAUAAUUGACCACUGAAUUAUUGAAUCGACAUUCUUAAUUGGCUUAUUAAUAUGCGGUAGGUGGUGAAAACUACCCACCUAUAAACAUGAUAUUUUUUUGGAUAAUUGUUAAAUCUAACCACCUAAGGUUGGUUAGGAGUUAAAAUUACCCACCUAUAAAUUUUAUAUGACCAUUUUACCCUUACUUUUUUUUUAAAUUUUCUUUCACAUGCCAUUGUCGGGCAGAAAAAGAACCCACCCAUCGAUCUCCUCCCACCUCCUAUACUUCUAUUCUAACGUCGUCCUUCCUCCUCCAUUUCAUAGAGCCUCUGGAACCAACCAGAGUAGGAAACCAAAAAUCUAUCGCUGCUGCAUUCCAAGCAUGUGAUUCCCAACAAAUUGAUCCCAGCUAACUGCUUAUCCGGCUAAAAAACAAAAAUCCGAAUUAUAUUAACAGAAACCAAAAGAAGAAAGCUGAAUUAAAUCGUAGAGAUUGACAAUAAUACCAUGGUACUAGACACCAUACUGAGUACGUGGUCGAUCCAAGUGUCGAAUGCAUCCUUCCAAUUUUUAGCAAGCUUAGGAUUAUUCUUCGAGCUUACAGAUUCUCUGAGUAGACCAUGACUUUUGACGGUGGACACUGUGGAUAAGAGAUGGGAGAAGUUGACGAUGAUCUUGAUCGAAGAUAGCCGGCCGACGAUGAACACAUAGAGGAAUAGAGGAAGAAAUCGAGUAUGAGAGAUGUCGAGAAGCUGGAAUGUUGGUUGGAGAAAGGCUGGAAUCGAUAGAUGGAUUUGAGUUAGGUUUUUGAGAAUUUGGGAAUUAGAAAUAACAUUUAGAUAUUUAAGAUUUAUGGGAUUUAAAAAUAGAAAGUUCUUUAAAAAUAAAUGGUUUAACGGGUAAACGGGCAUGAGUAUAACCCACACAAUUUACUAAUAAGGGGCAAAUUAGGAAAUUUUAUACACUAACACACCCUAACCACCUAACACCUAAGAUUGGUGGGUAGUUUUGACCACCAAUCCAUUUUAGAUGGUUAGUUUUAACAUUUUCCCAAUUUUUUUUUGUAUUUUUUUCUUUUAAACUGUUCACUGAUGUCACAUGUCACAUGUGAAUGUGAUGUGUAGUAGGUAAUGAAAUUAGGAUUGAGAACGUGAUAGGUUUCGGUGGUCCUGCCUCGAUAUCUGUCCUCUUUUAUCAGAAUGGGACGCUUUUCUUCCCAACCCGAUGAAUGAUGCAGACGGGGCGUAUUUGGUUUGGUUUUUUUGAAAUUAUAAAAAAUAAUAAUUAAAAAAGUAAAUCUAAAAUAAACGUUUAAAAAUAUAAUAAUUUUAUAUCUAAAUUCUAAUAUGUUAUAAUUUAUUUAAAAAAAUAUAUUUUUUAAAUCGAGACAACUUGUUUGGGUUUCCAAGUUCCAACUGUUUGAAGACCCAACAGGUCGUAAAUAUGAUUGGGGUAAAAAGGGCACGACAUAACGGGUCGUCUGGUUCUCACUCAAAAAUUAAAUGAUGGUAGUAUGUAUGACUUUUAAAUAAUAGAAUAAUAGUUGCCAAAUUUGAAUAUAAUAGAUGCCAAAUUUGAAUCUUCUGAAUAUAAUACAUAAAUGUCAGAAUUUAACAAAUGUUAUUAUAGUUGAUUUAAUCUAUAUUUUUCUGCGGUCACAGGCUCAUGGCAUUUCCUAUUAUAAAUAGUUGAUGAGAUUAGAACGAUAUUAUUCAAUUCCAAUUCAAAUUCCACAAUUGCAAUGGAGUUCAAAUACCCAUCAUUUCUAUUAUUUUUCUCUUUGUUCUUACCUUUGAUGAUUUUGUUGAUUCUUAUCAAAAAGAAAAACAACAAAAGAUUGCCACCAGGACCGACAAAGCUUCCUAUCAUUGGGAAUCUCCAUAACUUAAUUUUUGCAGGUGACGAUCAUCUUCCUCGUGUGUUUGGAGAGCUCGCAAAGAAGCAUGGCACGUUUAUGCAUUUAAAAUUCGGUCAAAUCUCUCAAGUUGUCGUCUCUUCAUCCGAUCUUGCAAAAGAGUUUCUUAAAACCCAUGACAUCAACUUUGCAACUCGACCAGAUAAAUUCACGUCCAGACUUAUCUUUUACAAUAAUCGUGAUGUUGCGUUAGCGCCAUACGGCGAAUACUGGAGACAGAUGAAAAAAAUCGUUACUCUCGAGCUUCUCAGUGCGAAAAAGGUGAAGUUUUUUGACAGGUUAAGGAGAGACGAAGUGGGCAAAAUGAUCAACAUUCUCACCAAAGCUGCAACUAAUGGCACAUCGGUUAAUCUAAGUGAAAUGUUUCUUGUUUUUAACAACAACAUUUCCACUCGUUCUAUAUUUGGUGACAACAUUCGACAUCAGAAAGAAUUUCUGAAUGCUAUGAAGGUAGUAGUUGUUCUUGCAACUAGUUCCAAUUUUAGCAAUUUCUUUCCUCUUAUGGAAAAUUUCAUCGCCUGGUUGACUGGUAUGAAGCUUAAGACAGAAAAGACGCACAAGACAAUCGACAAUAUAUUAAAUACAAUCAUUGAUGAACAUCUUGGUAAAAAAAAUAACGACAAUUCGAUGGAAGAUGGCGAAGAAGAUUUCUUAGAUAUUCUUCUCAAACUUCAGAAGGAAAAUCAAUUUGGUUUUGAAUUUAGCAUAAAUGAUUUGAAAGCCGUAUUAUUGGUAAAAAACAAUUUUUUCCUUUUAAUAUCCAAAUUAAUUUUGGAAAUAUUAAUAAGAACUCUACUAAUGAUUAUUCAAUUGUUAUUUACAGGACUUAUUCCCCGGAGGAACGGAGACAACAUCCACAACGCUAGAGUGGGUAAUGUCUGAGUUGGUGAAAAAUCCUACCACUUUGAAGAAAGUGACAUCAGAGGUCAGACAAAAAAUUUCGAUAACUGAUGCAAAAACAGAUGAUUGCGAUAAUAAUUUUAGCAACGAGAUGGGUUACAUGCAAAAUGUUAUCAAAGAAACCUUUCGACUCCAUCCACCAGUACCGCUUCUUCUUCCUCAUGAAUCUAGAGAGAAAUGUCAAAUAAAAGGUUACGAUAUAGAAGAGAAGACAAGCGUCAUUGUAAAUGUUUGGGCAAUUGGAAGAGAUCCUAACAAAUGGAAAGAUUCAGAAAUAUUCAAACCAGAAAGGUUUAUUGGAAAUCCAAUCAAUUUCAAAGGAUCACAUUUUGAUUUAAUUCCAUUUGGUUCUGGGCGGAGAAUAUGUCCUGGUAUGACAUUUGGUCUGGCUAAUGUGGAACUUUCGCUUGCUACCCUUUUAUACAAUUUCGAUUGGAAAAUACCAAAUGAUGUUCCUGGAAAAGAUCUUGAUAUGGCUGAAAGUCUUAGAGGGACUCUUGGUAGAAAAAACCCACUCAUAUUGGUACCUGUAUUUCCUACUACUUAAUAAGUUAUUAUAGUAGAGUAAUUUUCAGGUGAGUCCAAAAAACAAUCAAGAUAAAUGAGCGUUUUUGGGCUCACGUUAGAUAGACUUUCUUGAACUUUCUUCUAUUAAAGUAUUAUAUCUAUUUGAAAUAUUUUGAAAAUCUCUUUAUGAGAAGUUUAACUCCAUUGCAGACUGCACGUCUUAAUUAUCAUUUCUGAAUAGUGUCUUAGAAAAAUAUUGUCUCUUCCGUACUCCAUUCGUAACCCGAUCCGUUCUCAUCCUUAUUGAAAUUUCAAAAGGAUCGAGUCUCACACGAGAUUCAGAUCCUGUCCAGUUAAAUAUCGGGUAUCCGGUUAUCGGAUCCAUGGGCAAAAUGGAUUUUAAAUGAUAAUCUAGUUUCUAUGCUAUUAUUUAAUAAAAAAGAAAUCUGUAAAGGUUUAUAUGCAAAAUGGCAGCCCACACAGGCCCAUUAAUACACGCAACUUGGAAGAAAACCCUUGGUCCGUUGCUAUAUAUGUAGUUAGUUGUUGCUUGCUUGUCCUUACUCUGGUUCUUUCUUCAGCGGCUCUUAUUUCUGUAUAUCUCAAUUCGUUUUUUUAUUAGUUAGAUCUAAUCUAUAGUUUUUGUUGUUGUUUAUUCCUGUGAUUUGCAUCCGUUCUAAAUACGAAUGUUCUCCUCAAAUCUGUUUCGUAUUUUUUUAUUUGGGGCGGAUUUGAAUGAUGCAUAGAUCUACGGUUUGAUUUAUCAACACAUUGUGAUAUCUUAAUUUGCAAUGCUGUCAAACGCUCAAUCUAUAUUCUUUCUUUGUUUGAUGAUGAUUAUUUUUACGAUGCAAUAUUUUAGUUCUGAUUAUUCGAUUUUGAUCUUUUUUUUUUAAUGUUUUAGAUGAUUUAUCGUUUGCUUUCGAUUGUCUGAUAUCUUUCUGUUCUAUCAAUUGCUUCUAAAUUUGAAUUUGCAAUACUAACAAAUACUGGAUCUUUAUUUCUUCUUGUAAUUCGAGCUUUGAUCAUUUAAUCCUUGCGAUUAAUUUCGUUUGUUCAUAUUUUUGAUUGAUUUUGAUAUUACACAACCUCCAAAAUAGGAGCUUAAUUAGAUUUAAACUUAAAAUGAUUCAUUAACAUUUAAAUAAUUACUAGAUUUAGAUAUUAUAAUUAGAGGUGAGCGACGACGGGAUCUUUAGAGUGUCAAACAACCCAAACUUUUGCUUAUAGAGGUAGUCUCGUGCUUGCUCGUUAAGAAAUUAUUCAGGCUCAAUCUUGGGCUUGCCGAGCUUGGUUUGGCUGAGCUCGGUCUCGGCUCGUUUUAAGAAUUGUUAGGCUCUGGUUCGAAUUAAAAAUAAUAAUUAUUUUUAGACAUUAAGGAUUGAACCUAUGACCUUUCAAAUACUGAACAAAAAUUUCACCAACCUACACCAUUAUUCUUUCUAACUAUUAUAUUUUUUUAAUUUUCCAUACUUCUUACCGUGGCUAUUGAGCUUAACGAUCCGAGCUUGACAUAUCCAAGCUUGAACUUGGCUCGUUAAGCUAAACAAGCUUGAAGAUUGGGCUCGUCUUGUUGGGUUUGCGAGCCUAAGCUUAAACGAGUCGGGCUUUUUUUGACACUUUAGCGAUCCUUGGUCAAAAAUCAGGGAGUCUCAAAGUCGUUCAUUGACCAUGGACGGGGAUCCUUGGUAGUAAUAUAUUUUUUUUUUAAACAAUAAUGUACUAAAUACUAAUGUUAUUACUUAAUACUUAUUAUUUACCAAAGUAAUUUAUUUAAAGUUAUGAAAUAAGAGUAUAAAAUAUUAUAAUUUAUAAUAAGAAUAUAAUAUUCCAAGUUUACAAUGUAGAAUAAAAAAGAUAUAAUAAAAUAUUGGAGAAAGAAGACAAAAAUGUAAUGGAAUCCUAGAGAAAAAAAAAUUGAAUGGAGAUAAAACUGUCAAAAAAAAAAAAAAAAAACAAAAAACAAAAAAAACAAAUGUAGUAUGAUAAAACUUCAUAUAGGCAAACAGCUUGCCUUACGGUUAAGAAGAAGUAGGAAUAAGAAAAAGAUGACGGUGAACUUGAUAAAAACUGUUCAGGAGACGUCGACGACAGCAAUGUGAUACCUUCCCAGAGUUUGGAAGGUUUCUGUCCACCGGAGAGGCUGAUCGGCGCUAGGGUUUUCCGUCCAAUCGCGUUUGGGGAAAACCGGAAUUAACUACCGGACGAAUUUUGUAAAAGAGAGAAAAAAGGGGGUGAAAAGGAAAAAUGUAAUUUUAGUUAAUCUUUUUUUAUAUUGAUUAACUCGUAAAAACAUUGAGUAAUCUUAAUUCUUAAUCACGUUUUAUUUAUACUAAUUACAAGACUGUUAACAGCUAAAACAAAUAACUAAUUUAACUCUAAUUUAUUUGGGCUGGAUCUUGAUUCGAGUCCGUUUGUGAUCCAAUCCGAUUAGCUGUAACAAUUCUGCACAAGUACACAAAAUUAUUAGUAAUGUCAAUCAGGUCUAUUUGACCAGAUUUAUUUUGUGUUAUUUGCAUAACAGUCCUCAAGUUAAUUAUAACUGAAUAAUUGAAACUUUUACGCUUCGAUCCUUGUAUUUCUGAAUCUUAGUUAUAUUACAAAAACCUUUAGUUUCUUUUAAUUACGCUUAGGUCCAACUAACGUUUAUUGAAACUUUUAUAAAUGAAACCUUGUUAUUUUAUAACAAAACAGUUAAUUCUGUUUUGUCAUAACCCUUAGGUUAUUUAUAUUACAUUUAAAUCCUAAGCUUGUUUCUAUGGUAAAUUGCUUAUUUACCCUGUAUUUCAGUUAUAUUCUUAUAGAACUACGGUAAGAAUAAAAACAACUAUUGCUAACUGCUAAGAACAAUGGUCCGGUGGCUACUUGGAGUUGAAGAUUAGGUACAAAAAUGCAGGUACCGGAUACGAAGAAUCUCGCCCCUAAAUAUAAUGACUGAGAAUUAAAUUUAUAAUCGGUCCAUUAGUUAAAUUUAAAUUAAUUUAUCUAUUUUCUGGUCAAACAAUUAUGGUUUCGUUUUAUAAUUAAAUUUUAUUUUUUACCCAUAUGUUGUUGAGAUUCAAUCUUGGCUCAUUGCUUAAGGUCUUAUUUCUUGGUUUGUUUUAUAAAUAAAAGUUUUGGAUUCUUAUCAGAAUUUUAUACCAACCAUCGAUUUCGCUGUACAUUUGUCAAAUUAAGUUUUUUUUUUAAUUCGUUAUUCGUUUAUAAGGCUAAGAUUAAUUUUUUUUGACAAAACUGGUUUAUUGAUAAUUGACCACUGAAUUAUUGAAUCGACAUUCUUAAUUGGCUUAUUAAUAUGCGGUAGGUGGUGAAAACUACGGUUGAUUUCAAUCACAUUAAUCUAAUCAGAUUAAAUUGACUCGAGUCUACUUAUUCUAGAUUCUCUUCGGUAGAAUAAACAUGAUAAACACUGAUGUCACAUGUGAAUGUGAUGUGAUGUCACUGAUGUCACAUUUAAAUCUUCUGAAUAUAAGACAUGUUUAUUUAAAUGUCAGAAUUUGACAAAUGUUAUUAUAGUUGAUUUAAUCAUGGCAUUUCCUAUUAUAAAUAGUUGAUGAGAUUAUAACCAUAUUAUUUAAUUCCAAUUCAAAUUCCACAAUUGCAAUGGAGUUCAAAUGCCCAUCAUUUCUAUUAUUUUUCUCUUUGUUUUUACCUUUGAUGAUUUUGAUGAUUUUGUUGAUUCUUAUCAAAAAGAAAAACAACAAAAGAUUGCCGCCAGGACCGACGAAGCUUCCUAUCAUUGGGAAUCUCCAUAACCUAAUUUUUGCAGGUGACGAUCAUCUUCCACGUAUGUUUGGGGAGCUCGCAAAGAAGCAUGGCACGUUUAUGCAUUUAAAAUUCGGUCAAAUCUCUCAAGUUGUCGUCUCUUCAUCCGAUCUUGCAAAAGAGUUUCUUAAGACUCAUGACAUCAACUUUUCUUCUCGACAAGAUAUAUUCACAUCUAGACUUCUCAUGUACAACAAUCGUGAUGUUGUAUUUGCACCUUAUGGUGAAUACUGGAGACAGAUGAGAAAAAUCGUCACUCUCGAACUUCUCAGUGCGAAAAAGGUGAAGUCUUUUAACAGGUUAAGGAGAGAGGAAAUGGUCAAAAUGAUGGAUAUUCUCACCAAAGCUGCAAGGAAUGGCACAUCGGUCAAUUUAAGUGAAAUGUUUCUUAUUCUCAACAACAACAUCUCCACUCGUUCUAUGUUUGGUGACAACCUUAGACAUCAGACGGUAUUUCUGGAUGCUAUGAAGGAAGUAGUUGUUCUUGCUACUAGUUCCAAUUUUAGCAAUUUCUUUCCUCUUUUGGAAAAUUUCUCUGGUUGGUUGACAGGUAUGAAACUUAAGGUAGAGAAGACGCACAAGAUAAUCGACAAAAUACUUAAUACAAUCAUUGAUGAACAUCUUGGUAAAAUAAAUAACGACAAUUCGAUGGAAGAUGGCGAAGAAGAUUUUUUAGAUAUUCUUCUCAAACUUCAGAAGGAAAAUCAAUUUGGUUUUGAAUUUAGUAUGAAUGAUUUGAAGGCGGUGUUUUUGGUAAAAAAAAAGAAUAUUUUUCUUUAUUAAUAUCCAAGAAAAUAUUAAUAAGAACUCUACUAACGAUUAUUCCAUUGCUAUUUUGCAGGACUUGUUUAUUGGAGGAACAGAGACAACAUCCACAACGCUAGAGUGGAUAAUCUCCGAGUUGGUUAAAAAUCCUACCACUUUGAAGAAAGUGACAUCAGAGGUCAGACAAAAAUUUUCGAUAACUGAUUCAAAAACAGAUGACUAUGAUAAUAAUUUUAGCAAAGAGAUGGGUUAUAUGCAAAAUGUUAUCAAAGAAAGCUUUCGACUCCAUCCACCAUCACCGCUUCUUAUUCCUCAUGAAUCUAGAGAGAAAUGUCAAAUAAAAGGUUACGAUAUAGAAGAGAAGACAAGCGUCAUAGUAAAUGUUUGGGCGAUAGGAAGAGAUCCUAACAAAUGGAAAGAUCCAGAAAUAUUCAAACCAGAGAGGUUUAUUGGAAAUCCAAUUGAUUUCAAAGGAUCACAUUUUGAUUUAAUUCCAUUUGGUUCUGGGCGGAGAAUAUGUCCUGGUAUGACAUUUGGUCUUGCUAAUGUGGAACUUUCGCUUGCUACCCUCUUAUACCAUUUCGAUUGGAAAAUACCAAAUGAUCUUCCUGGAAAAGAUCUUGAUAUGGCUGAAGGUUUUAGAGGGACUCUUGGUAGAAAAAAUCCACUCAUAUUGGUACCUGUAUUUCCUACUACUUAAUAUAGUAUUUUGUAAGUUCUUAUAGUAAGGCAAUUUUCAUGUUAGUCAAAAAUGUCCUGAUCAUUCUGAUCAUCCAUUGU